rnacentral:tRNA from 1 species
GGGGGUAUAGCUCAGGGGUAGAGCAUUUGACUGCAGAUCAAAAGGUUCAAAUCCGGGUGCCCCCU